rnacentral:SRP_RNA from 2 species
GACGGGCCUCCCCGCAUGUUGGCUUGGUAAUCUGGUCAGGUCGGGAACGAAGCAGCCAAACCCAUCUCCCAGCAGUGCCGGGGGUAAGGCUCGUCUAC